GAAGCGCCAAGCACCAUCGUGAGGAUCUUGAUUGGAUUAAGCAUGUGUUGUCGAUUAAAAAUUCUACCAAAGAUUCAAUUAUGUGGAAAAUACUGCAGGACGCUCUACCGUUAGGAGCAGCGUUAGUUGACCGUAUCUUGUUCGAUUCGACUCAAGACACUAUCUUGGUUCUCCUUUUCUAACAUCUCUAGGGUGGGAGGCAAACAAUAUAACACAUUCUUAUCAAUCAAACAGGUAUAACAAUUAUUUUACGGAUUAAAAUAAAUAUUCAUUAUUUGAAUGAAUAACCGAACUGAUCCAAAAUGAAUAAGAUAUUUCAAAAGAAAACAUAAAAUUGUUACUAUAUAUUAUAUAAUUACAUUAUCAUCUAUACAAAAUAUGGAAUGAAAAUCUAAAAAAUCACCAAAGAUUUGGUUAGCGUUAUUCCAAAACCGAUAAUCUCUUAUCAAAAUCUACUCCUAGAUAAAAAAAAUUAGGGAGACUUCAUCAUAGACCUAUAGUAUAGUAUUGUGUACCCAUAGUAAGAAAGAUUAUGCUUUGUGUUUUUUUGGGCACAAAUGAUAGGAUCCCAAAACACAAAAUUGGUUGUUUACAAACGGGAACACCUACAUAGGCUAUUGGCCAGGGGAGCUUCUGCCAUAUUUAGAAGACGGAGCUGAGCAGGUUCGGUAUGGUGGAUUCACCAAUGCACAGACCGAAAACUUGCAGCCCUUCGAUAUAGUUAGUCCACCAAUGGGAAAUGCGAAUAAAACACUAGAUGAUGAGAUGGAUCUAAAGCAUACUUGUUACAUGCAUUUGUAAAAUAUGUGGCAAUAUUGGAUUAUAAAAGUGUCGACAAUAAUUCUAACAUAGUCAUCGAGGAUGCAGAUUUUACUGAAUGCUACGAUGUAAAUUACCUUGAUAACUUUGGGUCUCAUCGGCAUACUUUCACCUUUGGUGGUCCGGGUUGUAUAUGUGAUGUGUGGUCUUUUUU